rnacentral:lncRNA from 1 species
GGCAUGCACUGCCUCCACGCAGCAACCCUCAGAGUCCUGAGCUGAACCAAGAAGGAGGAGGGGGUCGGGCCUCCGAGGAAGGCCUAGCCGCUGCUGCUGCCAGGAAUUCCAGGUUGGAGGGGCGGCAACCUCCUGCCAGCCUUCAGGCCACUCUCCUGUGCCUGCCAGAAGAGACAGAGCUUGAGGAGAGCUUGAGGAGAGCAGGAAACCUCCCCCGUUGCCCCUCUGGAUCCACUGCUUAAAUACGGACGAGGACAGGGCCCUGUCUCCUCAGCUUCAGGCACCACCACUGACCUGGGACAGUGAAU